rnacentral:rRNA from 1 species
UCCAGACUCCUACGGGAGGCAGCAGUGGGGAAUAUUGCACAAUGGGGGAAACCCUGAUGCAGCGACGCCGCGUGAGCGAUGAAGUAUUUCGGUAUGUAAAGCUCUAUCAGCAGGGAAGAAAAUGACGGUACCUGACUAAGAAGCCCCGGCUAACUACGUGCCAGCAGCCGCGGUAAUACGUAGGGGGCAAGCGUUAUCCGGAUUUACUGGGUGUAGAGGGGGCGCAGACGGCGAUGCAAGCCAGGAGUGAAAGCCCGGGGCCCAACCCCGGGACUGCUCUUGGAACUGCGUGGCUAGAGUGCAGGAGGGGCAGGCGGAAUUCCUGGUGUAGCGGUGAAAUGCGUAGAUAUCAGGAGGAACACCGGUGGCGAAGGCGGCUUACUGGACUGUAACUGACGUUGAGGCUCGAAAGCGUGGGGAGCAAACAGGAGUAGAUACCCCCGUAU